rnacentral:rRNA from 1 species
GCGGUUUAAUCGGACUCAACGCCGGAAAUCUCACCGGAURNCGACAGCUGUAUGAUAGUCGGGCUGAAGACUCUACUUGACUAGCUGAGAGGAGGUGCAUGGCCGUCGUCAGUUCGUACUGUGAAGCAUCCUGUUAAGUCAGGCAACGAGCGAGACCCACGCCAACAGUUGCCAGCUCGUCCUCCGGGAUGGUGGGGACACUGUUGGGACCGCCUCUGCUAAAGAGGAGGAAGGAAUGGGCAACGGUAGGUCAGCAUGCCCCGAAUUAUCCGGGCUACACGCGGGCUACAAUGGGUGGGACAAUGGGUAUCGACMCCGAAAGGUGAAGGCAAUCUCCUAAACCCAUCCUUAGUUCGGAUUGUGGGCUGCAACUCGCCCNCNUGAANCUGGAAUCUGUANUAANUCGUGUCUCANCAUGGC